CAUAACUAGAUUAGACACCGUAAGACAAAUAACCUCUCCAAUACGAAAAAUAUGUGGCCUUGUUGAACGGCUGGUCGUUUUCGUGAUUUUUAUGGAUCGAUUUAUCGUAUCGGACGAUGAAGUGACAUUAAUGACAUUAUAUUUUUAAAUUCUUAUAUUAUAAAGCCAUCAAUGAUCUACUACACCGUCCGUCCGUUUAUUACACUUGACGUCGAAUGUCUCGAGUUCAGUGUAAGUGCUCAUGGGAAAAUCCUGGUUAUUAAUAAGAUUCGUGAAAAACAUAAAACACACGAAGCUGCUCAAUAAUCUGGAUCGUCCCUGCCGGAUAAACGUUNACUGGGGUCCGCGGGUUCGUAAAGCCCGUUACUCUAUUCAGAAUACCCCUGCGGUACGGUUUCACAUAUUCAAUUUCAAUAAUGAUUAGCAAAGUUAACAUAAAUAAAAUUUAGUAUAUAAAAAAUAUAUAACACGUUGUACAAAUUAAGAAAAAAAUGCAGUCUGACCUCUAGAAAUACACUAUUAGGCGGGACUUGCAAAUCAUCGUGUCGUUUCGUAUCAUUUAAAAUGUAGACUUUGGUCAACUACGUUUUUCGUGAAGUGAUAUAUUUUCGAGAUAAUACUAACUAUAAUUAGGUGAUAAAUAAUCAAUUAUACAAUAUUUGUGAUAUAAAUUUUAUAGCGAUCACUUGAACCACCAUAAAACCAACAGUCAUAAGUACAGCGAUCAGUUCAAAAUGUUUUACCCUAUAGUU